AAACAAGCAGCACCUGUCUCUGCUUUUAAAGGGGUCAGUGUGUGUUCCCUCAUCACAAUGGAUCCAUUAUGAGCCUUUUUAGAACAUGACUGGUUUCCUCCUCAGUCCAACUUCAAUGGAAAUGAAGUCACUUAAGUCGGAACAACGACUUCUCAACUCGAGAAAUGGGAUCUUCUGAGGUGCAGAACUGUGAGAUGGAUGACACGUCUCAACUUCCUCCCACUAUUGAAAGAUGAAGCCAAAAUAUCCCAGGUACCGACACUGCCAUCGUGCACAUCUGGAGACACAGUCUGUGCAGUAGCGAUCAGCGGAAUGGAGCAGCAGAAUCAAGAUCCCGUCGAUAAGUCGCUGACUGCUGAUUGGCAGUUUGAUGGAGUGUAAUACAUCAGUGUGAUGACAUGAGAUCUGGCCGUGCACACAUUUGAUGCCUCACUCUCAAACCAUGCAAGGGGAAACAGCAAACACCUUCCGUGACCAGGCACCUGGGCCAACACAUAAACAAGAUACUCAGCGUCUCCAGGGGUAACUGAGAGCAGCAGAUGAGGCAGGCAAGUGCUGCGCUUGUUCACUGAUCGAUGCCAUACAUAGUGCAUGAGUUCGCUAAGAACUA